UAGAGUACAGUCCAGGUCGUUGAUAAUAGGUGUGUCCAGUCCAGUGUCCCCAAACAAAAUCAAAUAGUUAUUUCGCAUACAAGAAGCCCAACAUGAAAAUUGCGGCAUAUAUAAAUGUAACGAAGAACGACAGACAGUUUUACCCUUGAAAAAGGCCAAAUAAACAAGGCCGAAACGUCGGGCAAUACAAAACUAGUCGUUUUGAAUUUCCCCAGACUGAGAAAGCCAGGUAAAAUAUU